AGUUGCCAUAUGAUAAAACUUUAAGUGUAAAAAUGAUUUACUGUUGUGUCAUGUUUAUUUAUGUUUAUUUAUUUGGCUAUUUACGUUACAAACGCGCUCCGUUAUAUGGUAAGUUUUAUUAAAUCAUUACAGAGUUAUCUUAAGUGGGUUUUUGGCGGGUUCUCCGUGAAUACAGUGAAUGGUGAGUAUUUACACAUUUACAGUAUUUACAGUACUGUUUGACGUAACAUGCAAGUAAAGUGAACGUCGUUGUGUCAUGCUGCCAUUUUGAUUCACUUUGGAAUCUACAAUGACAAAAUUUCCAGCAUUCACCAGGAAAAUACUUUUAUGCCACCCCUGGGGUUUUAUAGGGUUAUUACAAUAUUAAAAAGGCCAAUGAACCUGCCAUCAUUGUCAUGCACUCAUGUUGUUUUCAUGCAUUUUAAAAAUGUUCAUGCUUUUAUGUCACCAAAGGCAAAAUCCCACAAAGCGAUGACAGACUCAGAGUGGAUGUCACGCCUGAGGAAGUUUGCCAGCACUGGGGCCUGGCCUGCCAGCCAGGGAAACAGGCCAGCUCCCAGGCAGAAGAAGUGGCAUGACCUGUAUCAAAAGAUUGAGAAGUGUCCAAGGAUGUCACAUGGACAGAGAUCUUUGUUCGGUGGUGUGAGGACAUGUACAUGUGGAUUCCACACUCAGAAGCCAGCUGCAGCAAAUGUUGCACAGGGAUCGGCAGGGCAACAGACGGCGGGUCCAGUUCUCCACGGUGCCACGGAGCAACAAAGUUCAGCAGGCGGCGAGCAACAGCCAGCUGCAGCGAAUGUUGCCCAGGGAUCCACGGGGCAGCAGACAGCAACAGCGAGUCCUGUUCUCCAUGGCGCCGUGGAGCAACAAGGUUCAGCAGGCGGCGAGGUUCAUAAGAAGUGACCAACACUGAAUUUGGCCAUGUUUAACAAGCCAAGAUUUGGUGGUGCGCAUGUCGCGGCAGCAAAGCCAAACCUCUGUGCUGCCAGCAAAGUAACAAAG